rnacentral:lncRNA from 1 species
UAGCAAGUAUAGAGCAAGCUAUUUAUAAUUCUUAUAUAAAGUUGAGUCACAACAGUCACGAUACACAAUUAUACAAAUUUCUUUAUAUAACUUGAGUCCUAAAUUAAAUAGAUAUUCAAAAAGUUUAAUCCAUCUUUGGCCAUCUCAAGUGAUCGUCCAUUUUAACGCUCAGAGUAUCCUCCCACUGGAAACAAUUAGGACGAUAAGAGUUAGUGAUUAUGUGGAUAACAAUUUUGAUAGAAGUACGAAGCACUGAAAAAGAAGUAAAAGAGAUAAUGAUUCACAAGCAACAUCUAAACUAAUUUGUAUCCCUUUGUCUAAUCCAAAAAACUAUUCACGUAAUCGAAUUUAUAAACAGUGGAAUCAAGGUAAGUAUUGCAGAACAUUCAAGAGAAGCUCAAGGAGCCAUGCCUCGUAGUUUUGAGUAUUUACAAUACCAACAGGCACAUGCUUAAUAUUGUUUCCAUAUGCCGGACGAAAUGAACUUCUUAUAUAGAGUGUAAAUUGAUUAAUAUUAUCAUUUACAUACAAUGUAAAUUACCAGAAUAGACAAGAGGGGUUGCUCGGAUGGUAAGCAACCCCCACUUCCGACUGAGAGGUUGUGAGUUCGAGUCUCCCCAAGAGCAAGGUGGGAAGUUCUUGGAGGGAAGGAUGCAAGAGGGGUUGCUCGGAUGGUAAGCAACCCCCACUUCCGACUGAGAGGUUGUGAGUUCGAGUCUCCCCAAGAGCAAGGUGGGAAGUUCUUGGAGGGGAAGAUGGCGGGGUCUAUUUGGAAACAGUCUCUCUACCCUAGGGUAGGGGUAAAGUCUGCGUACACACUACCCUCCCCAGACUCCACUAAGUGGGAUUAUACUGGGUUGUUGUUGUUGUUGUAAAUUACCAGAAUGAAAUUAAUUGUCACCUUUCUGCGACAGAAACAAAAGGUGUUUUCUUAUGCCAAGCCCAUUUGACAUUCAACCCCCAAGUUUUUAAAAGCAGGAAAGAACUUUUCUUUGAAAAGUAAAGUUUACACAAAAGUAUAAACUAACUUACUAAAGGUGACAAUAUGACUAAUCCAAAAAACCUUGCUAAGCAAACAAACAUGCAAUGGAGAAACUUAAUAUUAUGUUAUUUUCGUAGACAGUUAGCAUAAAAGUAUCAAGUAAACAUGUACCUUCCCAUCUUUCUCCAAUUCUCCGUAAUCCCUAUUUCAACAGAAAAUCCAGUCUCUUGUAUUAUAUUUGCCUGCAGAGUGCAGAGUAGAAGGACACUAGCCAAGCAAUUUCGAUAGAAUCAGAUUUACUCACUUUGGUAAUUUAAUUAGACUGCAAAAAUAAUCCUGAGUUUCUAUUUGUAUCAUCUUGCUGUAGUUAACUUCUCAAACCUUUCUUUCAACAUCACCUUUUCUUAAUAAAUGUAACACGGUUCCGUUUUUCUAUCUUCUUUCUAUAUUCUCCACAAUUUUAGCAUUUUUAAAGGCUCUUGAAUGUAGGAAAUAUUUUAGCAUAUUUUAAGAUUUUGUACUUCAAUAUAUGUAAGUUAAACAGAUGAAUCUGAUAAGUAGCAUCGCAUUCCAGGAACAAAGAUGAAUAUGAUAUGUAGCACAGUAUUAGAAAGAAUGGAUCUUAAAGUUAGCUCAAGAGGGUUGCUCUGAUGGUAAGCAACCCCAUUUCCAACUGAGAGGUUGUGAGUUCGAGUCUCCCCUAGAGCAAGGUGAGAAAUUCUUGGAGGGAAGGAUGACGAGUUUCUAUUUGGAAACAGCCUCUCUACCCAAGGGUAGGGGUAAGGUCUGCAUACAUACUAUCCUCCUCAGACCUCACUAAAUGGGAUUAUACUGGGCUGUUGUUGUUGUUGUUGGAUCUUAAAGUUAGCUAGUAGCUUAAAAUAUAUAGAAAUUUUCUUGCCUAGAUACACCCAUAAAGAAACGUCUCAAAUAGAAAAGUAUAAAAGAUGUCGGGAAAAAACCUUUUUUUUGAGAAAUAUCUCAAUUCACAAAUAGAAGGGGAAAAAUGAGCAUACCACGAUAUUCGUGUACUCCCGGAUCUUGUGAAGCCCAUAAUCCACCGCCCACAAUUAGCAAAAAUAUAAUCAAACCCGGACGCGUCCAAUAACAUUAUGCAUACACACACAUGAUAAAAUAAUUUAGAAAAAUAUAUGCAAAAAUGUUUACAAAUAUAUUUCUACAACAAUUUUUAACAGGUGUAUGCAAAAACUCAUGGAGAGAAGACAUACCUGUUGGCUAACCAUGUUUGUACUUUUUGGUGUCGCUAAAAUUCUUUCCAAAUUAAAGCACCAAAGAGUUGUAUCCAGAACAUCUAAAAACAUAAAUAUAGAAGUAAUAUUUUAAAAGAAUGGGAUAAAUAUCAGUAGAAAUUAGAUGAAUAAAAUAUCUAUAGAUAGUGAAAAAUACAAAAUAAUAUCAUACAUAUGUUAAAAUACACUUGUGAAAUUAAGUUAGGUAACUACUGCCAAAAUCUCAACUUUGACAGGUUGAAAUAUAACACAUUGAUAGUUCACCGACGUUUUCCAAUCUGUUUAUCACCAGCAUCAACAUCAUUGCUAGAGCUUUAAAAUUCAUUGUAAGUUAUUUCUAGAAGUCCAUCUAAUUAGUAUUAUCUUUCAGUAACAUUUUAACUAUACUUGUCCAAGAAAAUUUAGGCAGAUAAAAAAUGAGUCAUCAGUGAUAACUUAUUGACCAUCUCAACUUUAAUACCAUGGCCAAUGCAACACACUUCAUUGAACAAACAAGUAAAAUACAAAAGUGUACUCAUGCUUCAAGCCUUCUAUAGAUGUUUCUACAUUUGUAUAAAAAGUUCAUGAAAAAGUUUCCCCAGUUCACAAAAAUAUAAAAGUUUGCAUAAUUGAAGGCAAUCUUAAUUUAUUCGAAAAAGAGAAAGGCAAGAAAUUCUUACCAAAUAGCUAGUUGUUUCAUGCAUAUCAUCGAAUACCUUGGAUCUAUUAAUUUGCAUAGUAUAAAUUCCAUGGUCCUGAGCAAAGAAUGAAGAUAACUCGAAGAAUAAAGUAAAAGAAGAGUAAACAAUAAAUAUUCAGAUAGAAAGUGUGACUAACUAUAAACAAUCGAGAUUUACAGAUAUAGAGCACCAUGAAAGUACUGGUACAAAUAAACGGUUAUUGUCAAUAACUAAAUCUUUGCUACUGUAGCAAAGACCCAAAUCUUUCAACAGAAAGCUUAAUAUUACAGAUUUUUUGCCUAAAUAUUUUAAUUUGCAAAUAGUAAGUAGUGCCUAAAAAAUUACUGACAUACAUAUAAAAAUUCUAACAAAAAUUAAGCGGAAGAGUAAGAAAACUAAAAUUGAAGCAAAAAUAGAAAAACUUUCAAAGGAAUUCCAAAGUCAUGGGCAGAAAUAGGUGCAAGAAAUGAAAAAGCUUGCCAAACGUAAACAAUGAAAAUUAGAAACCACAAAUGGGAAAAUGAUACCCCAGAAGCGAUGGACGAUUACAGGAGAUACAGCGCAGCGAGAGAGAUAUCAAAACAAAACUUGUGGAAUUCAAGAAUAUUGAGGAAGAAGAAAACUGAAGUGGUAACUCAAAACAUGAAAAUUUUUAUUGUCUCUCUUACAACUGAGAGACAGACAAACUUUUGUCUAAUACUUUUAUGACCCACAUUUCUGUAAAAUUGGGGUCAUAAAUUUGUGAGAAGCCUCCUACCAAACACAAAAUAAAACUUCUCCUCAAAACAUACUGUGUGCACGCAUUUCUAUAAGAAUGAACGUAGAGGGAACACCUAAUUUACUCAUAAAGCAGAUUGAAUU